rnacentral:lncRNA from 1 species
CAGCUGCUCAGGAGUUUAACCAGUACCAGGCCAUCUUGUGACACACAGGUUGAAGGAAGCCUGGACUACUUGGAACUCUCUGGUGGGACACUGUGACCACGCAAACUCCCUAAGGCCAAACACCCUGAGUUAUCACAGUCACCCACAGCUGGCCUGGAACCCAGCCCAGCGACACUCACUUUGGGACCACGCUGAGGAAUCAGAUGGUGGAGUGCAGGAAAGUGAAGACCUAGCCCCCACUCCAGGUGUCCUACCUGAGGCUCACACCGAGUCCUUAGCAGAUCCUCCCAGCUCCCCCGCGGCACCUCCUCUGGCCUCCUCUGAGCGCCAGGCAAGGGCUGGGAUCCUACUGCCAGAGUCUGCUCCCAGGGAAUCUGCAUUAUUUCAAAACCCAGUGCCUCUGCAGCGGUAACUGGACAAGACUGGAAAGGUUUCGAGAUGAUUCAAACCUCCAGCACCUCACAGGAAUCCGAAUUUCUUAACACAGAAGGCAAUGCUAAUCAAGGAAGGAAAUAAAUAAAAGGUUAUUAAAAAUACUGACUUCACCAAACUUUCUAUAUACACUUAUCUAUUGUAUGAAUCACUAAAAAAAUGUUUAUGCCAAUAGCCCUUCUCACUUUAUGUCCAGAAACUACAGCAGCUACCUCACUUUUAACCUUUAAUGCGUAGGUUUAAGACAGUGCUG